GCCGCGUGCAGGAUGAAUGCCCUAUGGGUUGUAAACUGCUUUUCUGCAAGAAGAAACCUUAGUACGUGUACUAAGCUGACGGUAUUGCAGGAAUAAGCACCGGCUAACUCCGUGCCAGCAGCCGCGGUAAUAU
rnacentral:rRNA from 1 species